UACGUAGGGGGCAAGCGUUGUCCGGAAUUAUUGGGCGUAAAGCGCGCGCAGGCGGCCGAGUAAGUCUCGUGUUUAAACCCAGGGCUCAACCUUGGGUCGCAUGGGAAACUGCAUGGCUUGAGUGCAGGAGAGGAAAGCGGAAUUCCACGUGUAGCGGUGAAAUGCGUAGAGAUGUGGAGGAACACCAGUGGCGAAGGCGGCUUUCUGGCCUGUAACUGACGCUGAGGCGCGAAAGCGUGGGGAGCAAACAGG
rnacentral:misc_RNA from 1 species